rnacentral:rRNA from 1 species
AUGACAAGGCAUGAUGGCAUCAAUAGCCGCGAUGGUAAGUUCUACAUAGGAGAUACUGACUAUGCAUCUCGGCCUGGUGUUCUUCCACCCUUCAGAAAAACCAGGUAUCAUAUGAACACGUUCUUUUGUAGGAACACGCAAGAAUUAUUCAAUCACAGACACACCAACCUUAGAUUCAUGGUUGAGAGGACAUUUGGAGCUCUGAAGAAUCGAUUUAAGAUCCUAGAUCAGAAGUCGUUCCACCCUUACCCCACUCAAGUUAAGCUGGUUCUUACUUGUUGCAUUUUGCAUAACUGGAUCUUGCAAUGGGUUUUUUACGAGUUAGUGCCGAAGGGGGAAGAUGUGACACCCGAUGAUGAUCACUCCGGUCAUGGUGUGCAGACACGCGACAAUGAAGUUUGGAAGAGUAAAAGGUUGGAAUGUGCUGAGGCAAUGUGGGCAAACAAAGGAACUACAAAGAUCUGA